rnacentral:rRNA from 1 species
CCCGAGGAUGGGACUGCGGCCUAUCAGGCUGUUGGCGGUGUAACGGACCACCAAACCUACAACGGGUACGGGCGAUGGGAGUCGGAGCCCGGAGAUGGGGACUGAGACAAGGCCCCAGGCCCUACGGGGCGCAGCAGGUACGAAAACUCCGCAAUGCGCGAAAGCGUGACGGGGGAACCCCAAGUGCCGUUGGUCUUUGAUCGACGGCUUUUAGGGAGUCUAAGAAGCUCCCAGAAUAAGGGCUGGGCAAGUCGGGUGCCAGCCGCCGCGGUAAUACCCGCAGCCCAAGUAGUGGUCGCGAUUAUUGGGCCUAAAGCGCUCGUAGCCGGGUCAGCAAGUCCCUUGUGAAAUCGGGCGGCCUAACCGUUCGGCUUGCAAGGGAUACUGUUGGUCUUGAGGCCGGGAGACGUCUGAGGUACUCCGGGGGUAGCGGUAAAAUGCUGUAAUCCUCGGGGGACCACCAGUGGCGAAGGCGUCAGACGAGAACGGACCUGACGGUGAGGGGCGAAGGCUAGGGGAGCGAACGGGAUUAGAUGCCCCGGUAGUCCUAGCUGUAAAGGAU